CAAGUCGAACGAGAAAGUGGAGCAAUCCAUGAGUAAAGUGGCGUACGGGUGAGUAACACGUGGGUAAUCUACCUUUUAGUGAGGAAUAACCGAGGGAAACUUCGGCUAAUACCGCAUAAGCCUGAGAAGGGAAAGCAGAAAUGCGCUGAAAGAGGAGCCCGCGGCCGAUUAGCUAGUUGGUGAGGUAAGAGCCCACCAAGGCAGAGAUCGGUAGCCGGCCUGAGAGGGCACACGGCCACACUGGCACUGAAACACGGGCCAGACUCCUACGGGAGGCAGCAGUGGGGAAUCUUGCACAAUGGGGGAAACCCUGAUGCAGCGACGCCGCGUGAGCGAUGAAGCCCUUCGGGGUGUAAAGCUCUUUCGUCAGGGAAGAUAGUGACGGUACCUGGAGAAGCAGCUGCGGCUAACUACGUGCCAGCAGCCGCGGUAAUACGUAGGCAGCAAGCGUUGUUCGGAGUUACUGGGCGUAAAGGGUGUGUAGGCGGUUCUUUAAGUUUGCUGUGAAAUCUCCCGGCUUAACCGGGAGGGUGCGGUGAAUACUGAGGGACUAGAGUACGGGAGAGGAAAGUGGAAUUCCUGGUGUAGCGGUGAAAUGCGUAGAUAUCAGGAGGAACACCGGUGGUGUAGACGGCUUUCUGGACCGACACUGACGCUGAGACACGAAAGCGUGGGUAGCAAACAGGAUUAGAUACCCUGGUAGUCCACGCCCUAAACGAUGCAUAUUUGGUGUGGGCAGUUCAUUCUGUCCGUGCCGGAGCUAACGCGUUAAAUAUGCCGCCUGGGGAGUACAGUCGCAAGGCUGAAACUCAAAGGAAUUGACGGGGGCCCGCACAAGCGGU
rnacentral:rRNA from 1 species